ACCAAAAAGGAAAAUGCAAAGGGAGCGAAGAUGCAAAGGGACAAGAAUGAAAAACUUCGAGAAGAGUUUUCAAAGGAGGAGGACAGGAGCAGCUACCUGGGAUCGGAAGAUAACUCGACAGGGCCUCAGCGCCAGAAACAGAGCAGUAAAAAGUGAAGCUUUGGAUACAAGUGACUGUAUAUAUAUAAGGCCCUUCGACGGUCGAAGU
rnacentral:lncRNA from 1 species